GUUUAAAGACAAUUGGCUACCACAUAUACUAAAAUUUGAACAAUUCAGAGAUUAGCCAGUCUCCUGUACAAGAAUGGCAUGCAAAUUUGUGAAGCACUCCAUAUUUUU
ensembl:snRNA U6 U6 spliceosomal RNA